GCUAUCAAUAAGCGGAGGAAAAGAACUAACAAGGAUUCCCCUAGUAACGGCGAGUGAAGAGGGAAGAGCCCAAGAUUGAAAGCUGGCGUCUUUGGCGUCCGCAUUGUAAUCUCAAGAAGUGUUUUCCGCUUCGGACCAUGCCUAAGUCCCUUGGAAAAGGGCAUCAUAGAGGGUGAUAAUCCCGUACAUGGCAUGGAGCGCCCGAAGCUUUGUGAUACACUUUCUAAGAGUCGAGUUGUUUGGGAAUGCAGCUCAAAAUGGGUGGUAAAUGCCAUCUAAGGCUAAAUAUUGGGGAGAGACCGAUAGCGAACAAGUACAGUGAUGGAAAGAUGAAAAGAACUUUGAAAAGAGAGUUAAACAGUACGUGAAAUUGCCAAAAGGGAAGGGUAGGAGGUCAGAGAUGCGGUCUGGGAUUCAGCCUUGCUUUUGCUGGGUGUUUUUCUCAGAUUGCAGGCCAACGUCGGUUUUGGGCGCUGGAGAAGGGUGGAAGGAAUGUGGCACCUCUCGGGGUGUGUUAUAGCCUUCUACUGGAUACAGUGACCGAGACCGAGGACAGCAGCGUACUCGCAAGAGCGGGCCUUCGGGCACCUUUACGCUUAGGGCGUUGGCAUAAUGGCCCUCUACCACCCGUCUUGAAACACGGACCAAGGAGUCUAACAUGUAUGCGAGUCUUUGGGUGGCAAACCCAUAGGCGCAAUGAAAGUGAAUUCAGGUGGGAUCCGCAAGGUGCACCAUCGACCGAUCCUCACGUCUUUUUAAGUCGUGGAUUUGAGUAAGAGCAUACCUGUUGGGACCCGAAAGAUGGUGAACUAUGCCUGAAUAGGGUGAAGCCAGAGGAAACUCUGGUGGAGGCUCGUAGCGGUUCUGACGUGCAAAUCGAUCGUCAAAUUUGGGUAUAGGGGCGAAAGACUAAUCGAACCAUCUAGUAGCUGGUUCCUGCGA
rnacentral:rRNA from 1 species